rnacentral:rRNA from 1 species
AACGAACGCUGGCGGCAUGCCUAACACAUGCAAGUCGAACGAGACCUUCGGGUCUAGUGGCGCACGGGUGCGUAACGCGUGGGAACCUGCCCUUAGGUUCGGAAUAACUCCCCGAAAGGGGUGCUAAUACCGGAUAAUGUCUUCGGACCAAAGAUUUAUCGCCUUUGGAUGGGCCCGCGUUGGAUUAGCUAGUUGGUAGGGUAAAAGCCUACCAAGGCGACGAUCCAUAGCUGGUCUGAGAGGAUGAUCAUCCACACUGGGACUGAGACACGGCCCAGCCUCCUACGGGAGGCAGCAGUGGGGAAUAUUGGACAAUGGGAGAACGCCUGCUCCAGCAAUGCGGCGUGAGUGAUGAAGGCCUUAGGGUUGUAAAGCUCUUUUACCCGGGAUGAUAAUGACAGUACCGGGAGAAUAAGCUCCGGCUAACUCCGUG